GCGAGCGAAAAGAAAAUAGUUCAGCACUAAGUCAUUUUGCUUUUAUGGCAAAUAUGAGAUGCAGUGUAUGGAACAUCUAUAAUCUAGUAUGAAAUAUUAACGAUUUAAGUCCUUCUUAAAUGAGGCCAUUUACCCAAAGAGGGUGCCAGGCCCGUAUAACGUUAAUUAUUAUUAGAGGAUGAUUCCAAAGAGUCGUGUUGCUUGAUAGUGCAGCACUAAGUUGGUGGUAAACUCCAUCUAAAGCUAAAUAUAACCAUGAGACCGAUAGCAAACAAGUACCGUGAGGGAAAGUUGAAAAGAACUCUGAAUAGAGAGUUAAAUAGUACGUGAAACUGCUUAGAGGUUAAGCCCGAUGAACCUGAAUAUCCAAUUAUAGAAAAUACAACAUUAUGAUUUAUAAUAUUUAAAAAAAAUAAUAUUAUGAGAAUAGUGUGCAUUUUUUCUAUAUAAGGACAUUGUAAUCUAUUAACAUAUAAAUAUAUAUUUAUCAUAAAAUCAUUAAGAUUAAUGUUUAUUCAAAUUAAUAUAUUAUUAUAUGUUAAUGUCGAAUAAAUUCUUAUGAUUUGAUAAAGUGUUGAUAGAUUUAUUAUAUAAUAGUGCUUAAAUUCUUAAUGAAUUUUUUAAUUUCAUUUAUAAUCAAUUAUGAUUUUUAUGUUUAUUAAAUGCACUAAUAUGAU
rnacentral:rRNA from 1 species